UUUCCUCAUUUUGCUGAGUUUCUGCUUGAGCAUCUGGAUAUCUAAAGUUUACUAGCUUAGAAUCCCGUACGAUGCACGGCACAUAUUUAUUUCUUCAAAUAAUAUUUUUAUAAAUUAAAAAUUCAACAUAAUAUAAAAGACAUCAUAAACGAUAUCAAUAUUCUAAAUAAAAAUAUAAACUCAAAAUAUUUAAAUAAUAUAAUAAUAAGAAGUAACAUAAUUAUUUAUAUCUUUUGCUGGUGGAGAAAUUAUUUCUUGAAUCAACAUUUUCAGCAUCAAUUAUUGCGAAAUCCUCAUCAUCAGGCAGAGUAUAAUCACCUAUUUGCAUCUCACGUACAUCUCUUUUCUUUAUAGUCAUAUCAAUAAUAGAAAUUUCAUCCUCAUCUACUUCAAUCUGUAAGAAGAGAUUUAGUUAUCAAUUAUUAGAAUAAAAUAUAUAAAUAUAAUCAUCCAUAUGUAAAAAAAUAAAAAUAUAUCACUCACAAUGAAUUUUUCUUGAUUUUUCUUGUCUUUUGAUUCGUUGCAUACAUCAUUUGAAACUAUUUUAAGAAUAAUGUAGUUUAUUCCUCUUUGUUUGAGAUUGUAUUCAUCAACUUUAAUUUGAAAGAUGUAGCUUUUUUUUAUAACUCUUUUGAUUUCUAAGGGAACAAUAGAAUCAUCAUCUUUCUGCACGAAGAGAAAUACACAACUUGAUAUCGUCAACUAAUUUAUUAGAUGAAUAAAAUAUGAAAUAUAUACUGUAUAUACCUUAUCCAUACAUAAUUCUUUAGCUGAUUUGCUUAUUAACCGUUGAGCAACUUUAUUAAAAAGGAUAAAUGAUG
rnacentral:lncRNA from 1 species